AGGACGAACGCUGGCGGCGUGCUUAACACAUGCAAGUCGAGCGGUAAGGCCCUUUCGGGGGUACACGAGCGGCGAACGGGUGAGUAACACGUGGGUGACCUGCCCUUAGCUCUGGGAUAAGCCUGGGAAACUGGGUCUAAUACCGGAUAUGACCUCGCGAUGCAUGUCGUGGGGUGGAAAGCCUUGUGCGGCUAGGGAUGGGCCCGCGGCCUAUCAGCUUGUUGGUGGGGUGAUGGCCUACCAAGGCGACGACGGGUAGCCGGCCUGAGAGGGCGACCGGCCACACUGGGACUGAGACACGGCCCAGACUCCUACGGGAGGCAGCAGUGGGGAAUCUUGCGCAAUGGGCGAAAGCCUGACGCAGCGACGCCGCGUGAGGGAUGACGGCCUUCGGGUUGUAAACCUCUUUCAGCCCUGACGAAGCGAAGUGACGGUAGGGCAGAGAAGCACCGGCCACUACGUGCCAGCAGCCGCGGUAA
rnacentral:rRNA from 1 species